UCAGCCUUCGAAUAACUAGAAGGUGCGAAUUAUUAUGCAACACCGUCUGGUUCAGACAAAGGCUUACAUCAAUUGAUUUGGAAUUAAUAUUA